rnacentral:rRNA from 1 species
AUUGAACGCUGGCGGCAUGCCUUACACAUGCAAGUCGAACGGCAGCAUAAGAGAGCUUGCUCUCUUGAUGGCGAGUGGCGAACGGGUGAGUAAUGUAUCGGAACGUGCCCAGUAGCGGGGGAUAACUACGCGAAAGCGUAGCUAAUACCGCAUACGCCCUACGGGGAAAGGAGGGGAGUCUGCAAGGACCUUUCACUAUUGGAGCGGCCGAUAUCGGAUUAGCUAGUUGGUGAGGUAACGGCUCACCAAGGCGACGAUCCGUAGCUGGUUUGAGAGGACGACCAGCCACACUGGGACUGAGACACGGCCCAG